rnacentral:lncRNA from 1 species
GAGGAAGCAGACAGUGAAGGGUGGCACCAUUAAGGAGAUAUGCCUUUCCAUCUCACUAACUGAUUCCUCCAAUGAGGCCUUACCUCCUAACAGCACAUCAACGAAGAGCGCAUCAGUAGACCACUCUACCAAUGGGUAUAGCCUCCCCUUGAUCCAGUUAACUUCUAAACACAUUGGACUUUGAGGGGUACAAUUCACAUCUAACACAUAACACAGGUGCACAUCUGUUGCUGUGGAACACUAGAACUUGGGCCCAUUCUGAUCCACUCAGUUUAAUGUUUCUAUGCAGAGCACAUAGAAACAAGAAGAGAUGUCAAGAACGCCUACUCACAGUGAGGCCAGGUACUUGAGAAUUUUUGAAGGAUCUGUAUAAGGAACAAGUGAAUUUUGUUUUAGCUAGAGAAGAUAAGAACCACAAAAAAUGCCUGUUGGACUCCCCAUGAAGAAUGUAAUCACUAUAUACUAUAGACGUGUACCAAUAAAAAUGAAAAAAUGCCUGCUGGAAUUUUAGAAAUCAGUAACUGCAAGAUUCAGGCAGAUGGAUGUUAAAAAGUAAGUGUUAUUAUUGGUGGAAACUUCCUCUCAGGUUUUAGGUACAGAAAGCCUCUUCUGCUACAGGUGGCCCCGAGAGCCUCCACCUCCGUUUCCUCUCC